rnacentral:rRNA from 1 species
UACGUAGGUGGCUAGCGUUGUCCGGAAUCAUUGGGCGUAAAGAGCGUGUAGGCGGCUCAGUAAGUCCGCUGUGAAAGUCCAGGGCUCAACCCUGGAAUGCCAGUGGAAACUGUUGAGCUAGAGUCCGGAAGAGGCGAGUGGAAUUCCUGGUGUAGCGGUGAAAUGCGCAGAUAUCAGGAGGAACACCAAUGGCGAAGGCAGCUCGCUGGGACGGUACUGACGCUGAGACGCGAAAGCGUGGGGAGCAAACAGG